GAUGAACGCUGGCGGCGUGCCUAAUACAUGCAAGUCGAGCGAACAGACGAGGAGCUUGCUCCUCUGACGUUAGCGGCGGACGGGUGAGUAACACGUGGAUAACCUACCUAUAAGACUGGGAUAACUUCGGGAAACCGGAGCUAAUACCGGAUAAUAUAUUGAACCGCAUGGUUCAAUAGUGAAAGACGGUUUUGCUGUCACUUAUAGAUGGAUCCGCGCCGCAUUAGCUAGUUGGUAAGGUAACGGCUUACCAAGGCGACGAUGCGUAGCCGACCUGAGAGGGGGAUCGGCCACACUGGAACUGAGACACGGUCCAGACUCCUACGGGAGGCAGCAGUAGGGAAUCUGCCGCAAUGGGCGAAAGCCUGACGGAGCAACGCCGCGUGAGUGAUGAAGGUCUUCGGAUCGUAAAACUCUGUUAUUAGGGAAGAACAAAUGUGUAAGUAACUAUGCACGUCUUGACGGUACCUAAGCAGAAAGCCACGGCUAACUACGU
rnacentral:rRNA from 1 species